rnacentral:rRNA from 1 species
GCCUAAAGCGUCCGUAGCCGGCUCUGUAAGUUUUCGGUUAAAUCUAUAUGCUCAACAUAUAGGCUGCCGGGAAUACUGCAAAGCUAGGGAGUGGGAGAGGUAGACGGUACUCCGUAGGAAGGGGUAAAAUCCUUUGAUCUAUGGAUGACCACCUGUGGCGAAGGCGGUCUACCAGAACACGUCUGACGGUGAGGGAUGAAAGCUGGGGGAGCAAACCGGAUUAGAUACCCGGGUAGUCCCAGCUGUAAACUAUGCAAACUCAGUGAUGCAUUGGCUUGUGGCCAGUGCAGUGCCGCAGAGAAGUCGUUAAGUUUGCCGCCUGGGAAGUACGUACGCAAGUAUGAAACUUAAAGGAAUUGGCGGGGGAGCACCACAAGGGGUGAAGCCUGCGGUUCAAUUGGAGUCAACGCCAGAAAUCUUACCCGGAGAGACAGCAGAAUGAAGGUCAAGUUGAAGCCUUUACCAGACAAGCUGAGAAGUGGUGCAUGGCCGUCGCCAGCUCGUGCCGUGAGGUGUCCUGUUAAGUCAGGUAACGAGCGAGAUCCUUGCCUCUAGUUGCUACCAUUACUCUCAGGAGUAGUGGGGCGAAUUAGCGGGACUGCCGUAGUUAAUACGGAGGAAGGAGAGGGCCACGGCAGGUCAGUAUGCCCCGAA